rnacentral:rRNA from 1 species
GAUGAACGCUGGCGGCGUGCCUAAUACAUGCAAGUAGAACGCUGAAGGAGGAGCUUGCUCUUCUGGAUGAGUUGCGAACGGGUGAGUAACGCGUAGGUAACCUGCCUGGUAGCGGGGGAUAACUAUUGGAAACGAUAGCUAAUACCGCAUGACAACAGUUAUUGCAUGAUAACUGUUUAAAAUGGGCAACUGCUCCACUACCAGAUGGACCUGCGUUGUAUUAGCUAGUUGGUGAGGUAACGGCUCACCAAGGCGACGAUACAUAGCCGACCUGAGAGGGUGAUCGGACAAGCUGGGACUGAGACACGGCCCAGACUCCUACGGGAGGCAGCAGUAGGGAAUCUUCGGAAAUGGACGGAAGUCUGACCGAGCAACGCCGCGUGAGUGAAGAAGGGUGUCGGAUCGUAAAGCUCUGUUGUAAGAGAAGAACGAGUGUGAGAGUGGAAAGUUCACACUGUGACGGUAUCUUACCAGAAAGGGACGGCUAACUACGUG